UAGGGAAUAUUGGACAAUGGGCGCAAGCCUGAUCCAGCCAUGCCGCGUGAGUGAUGAAGGCCUUAGGGUUGUAAAGCUCUUUCGGCGGGGAAGAUAAUGACGGUACCCGCAGAAGAAGCCCCGGCUAACUUCGUGCCAGCAGCCGCGGUAAUACGAAGGGGGCUAGCGUUGCUCGGAAUCACUGAGCGUAAAGCGCACGUAGGCGGUCUUUUAAGUCAGGGGUGAAAUCCUGGAGCUCAACUCCAGAACUGCCUUUGAUACUGGGAGACUUGAGUCCGGGAGAGGUGAGUGGAACUGCGAGUGUAGAGGUGAAAUUCGUGGAUAUUCGCAAGAACACCAGUGGCGAAGGCGGCUCACUGGCCCGGUACUGACGCUGAGGUGCGAAAGCGUGGGGAGCAAACAG
rnacentral:rRNA from 1 species